CUUGACCGAGCCGAGCAGCACCGGCCGGUCGGCCUGCCGGUUCCGGCCGUAGGUGGCGAGCAGUGCCUGCGCCUC
rnacentral:antisense_RNA from 1 species